AUUGAACGCUGGCGGCAUGCCUUACACAUGCAAGUCGAACGGUAACAGGUCUUCGGAUGCUGACGAGUGGCGAACGGGUGAGCAAUACAUCGGAACGUGCCUAGUAGUGGGGGAUAACUACUCGAAAGAGUGGCUAAUACCGCAUGAGAUCUACGGAUGAAAGCAGGGGAUCGCAAGACCUUGUGCUACUAGAGCGGCCGAUAGCAGAUUAGGUAGUUGGUGGGAUAAAAGCGUACCAAGCCGACGAACUGUAGCUGGUCUGAGAGGACGAUCAGCCACACUGGGACAGAGACACGGCCCAGACUCCUACGGGAGGCAGCAGUGGGGAAUUUUGGACAAUGGGCGCAAGCCUGAUCCAGCAAUGCCGCGUGCAGGAUGAAGGCCUUCGGGUUGUAAACUGCUUUUGUACGGAACGAAAAGCCCUGGGUUAAUACCCUGGGGUCAUGACGGUACCGUAAGAAUAAGCACCGGCUAACUACGUGCCAGCAGCCGCGGUAAGAC
rnacentral:rRNA from 1 species